AAACAUGGUUAACAUGGUUAAUAUCCACUUCCGGGAAAGUAGGUAAUGUAGCUUUACACAUAUAUAUUCUGCGCAGUUAAACACCAAUGGCAUACAGACAUGACAGAAAACGUGAUUUGAAAAAACGACAUGUUGAGGUGUUAUUUACAACAAUAAGUAAUGGAAUAUAACUUCAAAAGACACACUUCAACGAAGUAAGGAUAACGCUAACAAUUUUGAGACGUAUUAUUCAGACGAAACAUAAAAGACAUCUAGUGUAUAUUUUAUACAAACGAAUUAAGUUCUGUAAUAUAGAAAUGUUCCUGUGCGUACAAAAAAAAACAAUUCCAGCUAUUUUCUUAUUUUCCUUGUGAUAUUCAGAGUAGCAUGAGGCUGUUCCAAUGGAACUCACCACUAGAACGUCAAGCCUCAUAUAUAAACUGGCCAGUUCAUCCCCGGUUUAGUCCAACUCAAUUAGUACAGGCAGGAUUUACUUACACUGAAACAGAGAAUACUGUUCGUUGUCUUACCUGUGAUUACACAGCAUCAGUUAAUUCCUGGAUUCCACCAGAGAGUCCAUCGGAGGCUCAUGUACGCUGCAGUCCUGAUUGUAGUUUCGUUCCUGGAAUUAAAAUGUGCAUAACGUUUAAAACAAGCUGGAAAAAUAAAAAUACCUUAACAGACUACCACAUUAACACUGACAUCAUUGUACCUGUAACUGAUGCUUCACCAACAGAUACAUUUACUGAUCAAUCUGUGCAACGGCUACAAUAUCCACAAUAUGAAAACGUCCUGACACGAAUACAGUCCUAUUCAAACGUCUUAAAACAGCGAUCAAAACUUUUGGCGGAAGCUGGGUAUUUCUUCACAGGCGAGGCUGAUAUUGUGAGAUGCUUUUGUUGUGGACUUGGGCUAGCGAAAUGGAAUCAUCAAGAUGAACCAUGGGUUGAACAUGCUAGACACAGCUUUAAGUGUGCGUUCCUUAUAAAUGAAAAGGGAGUGGACUAUGUAAAUGACCAGCAAACAAGAUGGGAAAAGAUCUAUAAUCCAAAGCAUCCUACUUUAGAAGACAAAGACUCUCGAUUGAAAACAUUUGCUGGUAUUUGGAGAACUGAUAUUGAACAAACCCCAGAGAUUUUAGUGGAUGCUGGUUUCUUUUACACUGAAAGGACAGAAACCAGAAAACUCAGUCAGCACUGAUUUACAGUUACCAUGUUUACUCGUGCAUCGCCUUUAUCUGAAAGAAAAAGAAGAGGAAAAGGAUCUUCAUAAAAUGAAAGAGACAAACAGACAACUGAAGGAAAAAAUGAAAUGCAUUCGAUGUAGAACCAAUGAUAUUUGUAUACUGUUUGUAAAUUGUGGACAUCGACAGACCUGUGAGGAGUGUGCUGUUGCUAUGGUCUUCUGUCCAUCCUGUGAUACAAGGAUAAAGAAAAGAUUAAAAACAUAUCUGUCAUGAUAAUAGAAUGGGUUUAUGCAUUUAUAAAAACUGAGACUACAUGUAGUAGUUAGAUUUUAAUACAUGAACCUAUUUGUUUAUUUGUUAGAAUGCAAUUGUGAUUUUUAAAAAAUGUUAUAAAUGAUCAGUCAUCAAGUCAAUUGAUUCUCAAUAAAAAGAAAUGUCAAUUAAUCAAAUUCAAAGAUUAAUUUUAAAAGUUUAGAACUUGUGUGAACUUGCUUGAAUUAGGAUAUCCAA